rnacentral:tRNA from 1 species
GAGGGUAUAGCUCAGUGGUAGAGUGCGUGCUUAGCAUGCACAGGGUCCUGGGUUCAAUCCCCAGUACCUCCA